AUGGACCACGCGUACGCUCCGGUUCUGAGCACGCCGCCCGCACUCACCUGACGACUGCUCGCGACGUUUUGUUAGCC
rnacentral:sRNA from 1 species